rnacentral:misc_RNA from 1 species
GAAAGGUGCUUGAACAAGAGGAAAGGAAAAUUGAAACAGUAAAGAUAAAUAGAGAGCUAACAGGUUUUUUAUAGAGAAACACCAACCUUCAACAACUUGUUUUCUUCCCCUUAUGUAUAAUAGCUCUGAUUUCUCAUCUAAUGAUGGCUUAUGUUAAAACUCACUCACAUGGCAAAUCGGCACUAGAAAUCUCUAGAUUAAACAACAUUUUUUAAAUAGUGGUGCA